AGAGUUUGAUCAUGGCUCAGAUUGAACGCUGGCGGCAGGCUUAACACAUGCAAGUCGAGCGGGGGAAGGUAGCUUGCUACCGGACCUAGCGGCGGACGGGUGAGUAAUGCUUAGGAAUCUGCCUAUUAGUGGGGGACAACAUCUCGAAAGGGAUGCUAAUACCGCAUACGUCCUACGGGAGAAAGCAGGGGAUCUUCGGACCUUGCGCUAAUAGAUGAGCCUAAGUCGGAUUAGCUAGUUGGUGGGGUAAAGGCCUACCAAGGCGACGAUCUGUAGCGGGUCUGAGAGGAUGAUCCGCCACACUGGGACUGAGACACGGCCCAGACUCCUACGGGAGGCAGCAGUGGGGAAUAUUGGACAAUGGGGGGAACCCUGAUCCAGCCAUGCCGCGUGUGUGAAGAAGGCCUUAUGGUUGUAAAGCACUUUAAGCGAGGAGGAGGCUACUUUAGUUAAUACCUAGAGAUAGUGGACGUUACUCGCAGAAUAAGCACCGGCUAACUCUGUGCCAGCAGCCGCGGUAAUACAGAGGGUGCGAGCGUUAAUCGGAUUUACUGGGCGUAAAGCGUGCGUAGGCGGCUUAUUAAGUCGGAUGUGAAAUCCCCGAGCUUAACUUGGGAAUUGCAUUCGAUACUGGUGAGCUAGAGUAUGGGAGAGGAUGGUAGAAUUCCAGGUGUAGCGGUGAAAUGCGUAGAGAUCUGGAGGAAUACCGAUGGCGAAGGCAGCCAUCUGGCCUAAUACUGACGCUGAGGUACGAAAGCAUGGGGAGCAAACAGGAUUAGAUACCCUGGUAGUCCAUGCCGUAAACGAUGUCUACUAGCCGUUGGGGCCUUUGAGGCUUUAGU
rnacentral:rRNA from 1 species